rnacentral:lncRNA from 1 species
CAUCACGUGAGGGCGCGCGCCUCUCUUCCUGCUUUCCUGACCCCUCUCGGCCAUUUAAAGGAACAGUACCGGGGGCGGGCCGAGAGACGCAGCCGGGACGGUAGCUGCAGAGCAGAGCGGAGGAGCCAUCUUGUCUUGUCGCCGGGGAGUCAGGCCCCUAACUCGAAGAAGCCCUGGCGCGCCCUCCCCCCCUCCCCGGUCUGGUAGGGCGAAGGAGCGGGCGUGCGGUCGAUCGAGCGAUCGGUUGGCGGCUCUUUCUCCUGCUCUGGCAUCCAGCUCUUGGGGCGCAGGCCCGGCCGCCGCGGCGCGCGCCCGGUGGCCGUUGGCGCUCGCGCCGCGUCUUUCUUCUCGUACGCAGAACUCGGGCGGCGGCCUAUGCUUUUGCGAUCCGACGAGGGGUCGUCCGGGUGGUUGGCGGCGGCGGGCAACUCCGCCCCGCUCCCGGGGAGGCGGCGGGGGAAGCUGGGGUGGCCGGGGCUGGCCUGGAGGCCUGGCGCCACCCCUCGGGGCCUGCUAGGACCCAGUUGGAGGGUCAAGAGGGAGCUGGAGGAUGGUUGGUGGUGGGCUUCCUCCUUUGCCUUUUCCUACUUAUGCCACCUUAGUGGGGAGCGAGAGCGCUGGCGGCAGCUCCGGGGUGGGGAUUCGAGCUCCGGAGUCGGAAGAUCUGGGUUUGCUUCCGGGCCUAGCCACUCGCUGGCCGAGUGACCUUAGGCAAGUCACUCUGUAAUCUGUCUGCGCCUCAGUUUCCUCCUCUGCCUAUCAGUGUGUGUAUGGAAUUGGAAGCUCUCUUCAAAAGUGUCGGUUUACAGAAAGAUGAUUAUUGUUUUUUUUUCCUUUGAGUUGCAAGAAGUCAUAACAAUUGCUCAUUCCCUGAAAUUAAAUUCGGGAACCUUUUAUUGGAGUUGGAGAUGGGAAGGUUCCCUGAACUUCUUCUGUACAGAAACACGUGGGAAAGUGUUUUCUAGGGGGAUGAGUAGAUCCUUCAGUAGCGAGUUUUCAAAGGGGGCUAUGACCCAGAAGAGUUUAGAACAGUUUUUGCCACCGGGAGGAAACUGAGGCCUACAUGUCAUCUGGGACCCUUCACAACCAAUAUGAAGCCCCCAUUUGAGUCCCUGGUAUAUGUGAGCUGCUUCUUACUGCAUAAUGGCUGUUUCAGGUACCAUCACUUCACUGCUUGGCUUUUAGUCAAAGCCCUUUCCUUUCACCAUAGGGUGCCUGAAGGGUGGCUGAUGCCUAUGGUACAAUGGCACCCACUAGAAAGCAGCUACAAUUAGGAGUGAAUGUGUCCUCGAGUAACAAGAAGUGUAAUCUCUGGCCCAGCGAUUGUUUUCUGCUGCUCGUACUGGUGCCUGACUACUUUUCUCUCGUUAACUAUUUUUUUACAACCAUGAUUGACACCCAUUAUUUGCUCCUAUUUUAUAUCCCUGGUUUUCGUGGUUGAUAGUGAACAGGAUUAUUUUUAAAUGGUGCUGCCAAAACCAGUUAAUAGUGCACAUGGAUUUUUAGCAAGAGGGCUACUUGGAACAGACUGAACCAGGCGUUGGAUUCCUGAAAAUGUUUGGGGUUUUUUUUUUUUUUUUUUUUUUUUUUUUUUUGGGGGGGUUUUUUGUUUUGUUUUUUAAAUUGAAGGCUAAAGUUUUUGAAAAAACUUUGUUGGACUCUGGCUGGGACACAAAAUCAGAUAUUUGGAAUCAUUUUGAAGCUUAACUUUUUCCUAACCAGCCUUGUAUUCUAAUUGCUUGCAAAUGUGAGACUGAAUGGCCAAAAUGCCGUUUGUUUGUUUGUUUAUUGUCAGCUGCUUUUAUCAAAUUCCAGGCCAUUAUCCAGCAAACACUAUUAAAAUGUUUGAACAGUUGGGUUUCAAACAUUUUUGUUUUGUGGAGUGGUGCUUAUUAAGUGGUACAGCUCUCUAAGCAAGUGAACACAAACAUAUUUAAGUGUAUUUUGUAUGAUUAGAUGUUACCAAUUCUGAUAUUUUAUUCAAAUGUCUAAAAAAAUAAGUUGACUUAUUCCCUUUACCAAAGGGCCAGAGACAAAUGGUUUCCUUUCAAGAGAAAUGACUGUUUUGAAGAAAAACUCUGUUGGUCUUAGCUCUUUUGUAAUUAAAUCUGGAUGUACCUCAAAAGACUCUUUAAGACUGUGGUGUUAAAAGGCUUUCCUCUGGAGAAGGAGAAAAAAUAAAAUCAACUGGAACUUAAAAGCUUGAAAUUCCAUGACAAAACACAGAUGUCCAGGAUUGGAGGUUCAUAAAGUACAUGCAGUAGUUGGAGUGGAUUCCAUUUUCAGUGUAGCUGCCACCAUGGACUCCAGGCUCCCAGAUUUUCAAGAACUGGACCUGUGACCCAGAAGAGCUUGUCAAGAUAUGACAGGAACUCUGGAGGUGGACGUUUUGUAUUCAAUUUUGGAACUGUUGAUCUUGCCGUGAGAAAAGAGAGACACGACUCACCAAGCACUGCCACCAGCACUGUCACUGGGAACUUGAAGAUCCAAGUUUCUGUCCAGAACCUCAGUGCAAACUGACAACACUCCAUCCAAAGUGAACUACGUCCCGUGCCUCCUGAUUGCUGAAUGUUCACCUGGACCUGCCAAUGACCUUCCUUCUGCUACUCCAUCAGCCUACAGACCUGGUACUUGGAUUUUUGUCCAUGGUGAUUCCUUCCACCUUACUACUGAAGAAGACACCAUUCCAGUGGACCACUGUGACCCAAGAAGCAUUCAGCCAUCAUGAUGUGGCCUUUACCUCCACUCCUGUCCUACUCUGCCCAGAUUCAGCACAGCCCUUUAUAGUGCAGUCAAGAGUCUUCAAGCCAAAUAACUGAAGCUAUUUUAUCACAACAAAGGCCAGGUUUAUUCCAUAAAUGUACAGUUCAUUUCUGCAGUUUAUUCUUCAGAGACACAUAGUAAAUUUGGACCAGGGGAUUUUGUUUUGUUUAUAUUGUCAACACUGUCUGAAGAAAGGCAUCUCUGAGAACAGCAUUGGACCCUACUCCACAAUCUCAAAUGAUUGAAGUUUCAUAAACUGCCUAGGAUCCUGUCAAGGCCACUGGACUCUUGUUCUUUUCCUACUUCAAAAUCUGUAGCUGUCUACUAAAUGACAAAGCAGAUAUUCUGACCCAUUGGGAUCAAAACCAAGGCAUUUUGAAUUCCUCAUAGUAUCAUCUUCGGGUUACUCAGGAACCAAAACUUUUCACACCAAUUUAAGAAAUUCUACUGAGGAAUCCCUUUACCUAACCAUCUCACAAGGCUUCAACCAGAUUCCUGAAAAGGCCUCUUGAUAUAUCAAGAUAGAACCUACAUGCAUUUUGUGAACAACUUAUCACUGAUUUUCCAAAGGCUUUGUGCUCUUGAAGUUCUUUGAAGGAAAGCUGUGUGGAAGUCCAGAGUAAAGUGAAGCUGCUCUGGAUGAAGUAGUGAAGUGGGAGUUGAGGUCUACAACCUGCCACAACCAUCUUCCUUUACCACCAUGGUGAUGCCAAAAGGGACUUCCUUAAAGCUCUUCAGAAAAUCCUGCUUGAAACCACUACCCUAGACAACAUGUUUGACCUGGAUGGCAUUCUCUUCAAAACAAUUCAUAUUCAGUUGAUGCUCAACAUGUUUGGAGAUGCUUUAUUCAGAGAAUGAUGAUAAUUACAGCAUUGUCUAAUGAAGUUUUAUUAAUAGCAUUCCAUCCAAGGUGGACUUCCUGGAGUUGGAUAUAACCAGAGAGCAAUUCAUAUGUAUCCUACACUGAAGAACACCAUUAACUUUCAGCAACCUAUAGCUAGUGGUACUAGAAGUACGUGUCUUGGAAGUCUAUGAGAGCUGGUAUUGAAGCUGAUGCCUCCUUAAGGCCAUCUUAGACCAAGUUGUUUGUUUGACCUCUCCUCAUUAACUAUGGAGCAGAAUUGAAAUACAAAUUUUUCCUAAAGGGACUUGCAACCUGGUUAUCAUUCAUUAUCUCAAGUUUCAAGUCAUGUUGAUGCAACCAGUAGUUAUUAAACUGCUCCAUGGUUUUUUGUUAUUUAAUACUUUUUCCAGGGCUUAAAAAAACAAAAUUAAAUUUCUCCAACACGUCUAUACUUGUCUGUUCAAAAGUAACUACUCACCACUAUAUGGAACAGAUGAUUCUGAAGACACUCUGAGCAUCCUUUAUGAUAUUUGUGACUUAAAAUGUGGCUGGAAAUUUUCCUUCUACCCAGUGAAAUAUUUAAUGAUUAGUCUUCAUGCCUGAUACCAUCAACUGUAUAUGCGUGAUAGGCAAAGUUUGACAUAGGCAUUUGACUCUAGGCUAUGAUAGCUUGCUAGUAACUUCAAGUAGCAUAUUGUCAACCUGUUUGCUGGAAAAGUAGAGUAACUUGGAAAAAAAACUAAAUGGCAGCUAAGGAUUUUUUUCAGUAUUCCUGAGUUUCUGUCCUUGGGAUAUUUCAAUGAAAUUUUCACCUGUCUCUUCACUUAACAGAGUGACUGACUCCUUACUAUGAAGUAUUCUUAAGACAUUAAGAUUACUUUUGUAGAAAGGAUAAAAUUCCUGACCAUCCAAAUCAUCAUAGUGAACAAGACUUCAAUUUGUGACCUGAGAAAAUCUCAUUUCUCUACUUCGUAGUCAAUGUAAGGGCCAAUGCUAUCAGCUACUCUGAGUGCACUGGGUAAACGUUGGAACUGCCUUCUUUAUAUCAUUACUUUUUAUCCUCUAAAUUAAUCAUGGUUAUGUAAUUCUCGCCACAAAUCAGCAAAUCAGACUCAGAUCUGGUUAUUCUAGACUGCUCACAGUUAACAAAUCAAACUCUGGAUGACUUCUGCUUGUAUAUGCAACUACUAUUUGUAAAGAAAUUGCAAAUUCACUUUUCUAUUACCUCUACAUUGCUAGCUCUUUCUUUUGUGUUUGUAUUAAAAACAAAAAUAAGCUACACUGCCAGCUAUUCCCUCCUGCCAUACUCAGUUAAAAUGAAGAAUCGGGAAUCUAACCAGUGAAUGGAUAAGUAGAAAAAACUAAAACUUAAGGCAAAAGCCUUAAUCUAGGGCCUUUUCUACUAUCUUCAUGUCUUGGAUUUCAUCUAAAAUCAACAGUGCCACCCAACCAGUCUGAGGUCUUGACUUGCUUUUAAGAUGAUUCUUAGAGAUGGGCUGUAUUACAGAAGGUGAAGACUUGAUUACCAAAGAAAGUAGAGCCAACUUUGACAAACCUGGCUCUACAAUCCUAUUGCUUCCAGAUGUAGCAUAGACUCAUAACUAGAACCUCAAGUCUGCAUUGAGGAUAUAGCCUUCUAAGCUGACAGUUCUUGCAACAGGUGAGCAAGAAAAUGAAAGCUGUUAUACCCAACUGGCCCUUUAAGAUCCAAAAAUAAUGUCUGGACUAAACCCUAUGGAGUACCCAGGACAAAAACUAAUUUACAGAGCUUCAUUAUUAAUCUGCCUGUUCUUCUAGCUUAAUUAUUGGUAUGGCUGGCCCUACUGAAGUAGUUUGUCUGUUUACCUGUCUUCAGCUCUUAACCUGGCUAUUUUGACAUGCUACUGCAAUUAGACUAACUGGCUUUGAGAAGACUACAAUCAGUUUCAGCCUCUCCUUUGCCCAAUUUCACCAAGGAAUUUUGAUAAGAGGAACCCAUACCUCACCCCACCAGAACAGAAAGGACCAUGCUGCAUAUUCCUUGACCAGCAACUUUAAGUAGAGAACAACCCUGCUUGUUUUCAACAUCUGAAACACCAUUUGAUCUAAUAGGAGUAUAGAAGGUUGACAGCAGAGUACACUACUUACUUCUUUCAUAACUCAGAAAUGAAUAUGACUGGCCCAGAAGUUGUAAGUUCACCUUGACAAGAAACAGCAACACCAGAAGUUUACUGCUGAACUUAACUUGCCACUUACUCGAAUAGUCUCACAGACCUGCUUGCCAAGUAGGAGGCUAGUUUUCCUGCUUCAUAUCACCAUUGGAGUGGGGCUCAAUGGGGUCAAUGUUAAUACUGACUUGAAUGGGGACCUUAUGGUGAAUCCUAGACUAUGAGGCUAAUGGAAAUUAUUGUCUAUUCAAGUGGAUUAUAGAUUUCCUGAGGACAGAACAGACAUCACUCCUGGUGAUUUUUAGAACUUGAUUACCAAGGAAGAAAUACCAGCUGCUAACAGUCAACUUCAUGGGCAAAGAUUAAGCUCUCUAUAUCUGGUCGUAUCCUGGAUGCUAGUUUUUUAUUGCCCAGUGACCAUUUCCAUCUCACGCUUAACUUCCUGAUGUUUUUUGGAACCAUCUCUUCCAAUUUUCAGUCCUGGUGAUUUAGACAGUCUUUUCAUGCUGGACAUUUUGUUGCAACCUCAUCAAUCACAGCAAAGUCCAUCUUGACUUUAGUGAUUAGUUCAGGAAUGGAUGCAUGAUUCAAGUUUGUCCAAUGAUAAUCAACCCUAGGUGUUUUCUCAGUUGUGGAGAAGUUCUCUUAGAUGCUUUAGCUUUGUAGGAGAAAACUCAAACCAACAGGGCCUACCUACUAUGUUGAAUGAUUGUAGGAGAAAACUCAAACCAACCAGGCCUACCUACUAUGUUGAAUGAGCCAGGCAGAAAAUGAAGCCAGUACAGAGGGAAAUGGAGCCAAAAGAGGAAGAGACUUGAGUUCUGAUGAUCACAUUUAUGCCCCUGUAUCCAACUGUGCCUGAAGCUAAUAGUACAUCACCUGGACUUUUCAGUUAUGUGAACCAAUAAAUUCC